AUAAUCAGCCAACUGCAAAUCAAUCGUUGCCUAAACCAACCGUAGUAAACAAUACAUGCGCACUGAAAUAUAACCUGGGCUGGCCUUGGUUCUGAAACGGCGGCUCACAGAACCGCAGUGGUGCUUGCCUUCCUGCGCUGAACACCCGUGCAGGUGCCGACUUAAAGCAGCACACCGAGUCUCAAGGCUCAGUAAGGUGAAUAACGGCACUCCGGUGCCGGUUGGAUAUUUUACGUGACUCAUUGCUUCAGGGUUUGGUAAAAUGUGUGAGUCCGUGUGCCAUUCCCUCAGGUUGUUGGUGUGCUCAUGAUGUAGGCCGGUGGUAAUCCUGUUGGAGAAAAGAAAGCAAAACAGCCAAAUUCAAAGGAAAGAGGCUUCCAUAAUUCAUGUGCCCCUUAGUGUCUACUGGGCAAGAUGAGUACAGACAGACCCAAACGGAAUAUCAUCAAGAAGAAAUAUGACAUCAGUGAUGGGAUGCCAUGGUGUGAAGAACGUCUGGUCCGGAAAGUUCUUUUCCUGUCCCUCAGGGAAUUCAGAGACACACACCGCACCACACACAAUCACUCACACAUUCACACACGCACACGCACACACACACACAAACGCGUGUCAAAAAAUACACUUUUACUGCAAAAGACGCAGACACUACCUAACACGCACACACAAAAAAACAUACGGACAAGACAGAGUGUGCACACGUCACAACAAAAAGUCACACACAGACCACAGAAUGUACACACACGAAAAAACACACACCGUGCACAAACUAUGCACAUGUCCAAACACCUACGCCCUCAUGAACACAACAACAAAGGACAAAAAACAAACUUGUCUCAGGACUCGCACACACCAAAAAAUAAAUGUACUCACACAAUACAGAACAUGCAAGUAAAAUCAAAAAUGUGUACAGGGAAAAUUACACAAACUGUACAGCACACACGCCUACAAGAAAAUACACACAUAUUCCUGAAGAAGUCUGUAUCAACCAGAACACUACGCUCACAUAAAUCACAAAAUAGACUGUCGCUGCUGAACUCGAAAUAUAUAGAAACUGCAAAACACAUGCAUAGUACUCAAAACAAACACUCAGUGAGAAACACACAGACACUGCUGAGCACUCCUGUUCCGUCCAGGACACUGAGGUCACACACUCCCACAAGCCUCAGUGGUCAGUACCAUCAAUACUCCUCUUCUGUUAGUAAUUCAGUAGUUCUGCCGCUACUGUAGAAGUUCCUUCUAAAGAUAAUUCCAGUUAGUUACCUGCUCUUAUUUUCAUUUUUUUUUUUUUAGAAAUCAGUAAUCACAGCCUUGUACUCACUAAGUUUGAGAUAUGGGAAAAUCGUGGCAUAACUGAAAAGAGUCUGAUGUCACAUAAAACAUGAUGUGUCAGAUAGGUUGGAAAGAAGGCAACGGUUUAUCCAAACUAUUCAAACCACUUUACUUGAAGGUCAAACAGAAAGUGAACAUACUUGUAAUUUCACUAAGAAUCCCUCAUUGCACAGGAACACAAUUGUGCAUACAACUACAUUAAGUAAAUUCUGUCAAAGUUAAGUCAGGAAGUGAGUCUGUAAGCUGUGAUUGAGGUUUACAAUGUAAUUGGUUUAUUUGAAGUGUCCAUGAAAUGAGGCUUUGAUCUUCGCUUAGCUGUUAACACCAGCUCAUCUUUCCUGUCAUUAUUUCUAGAAUGUCAUUUGCUGUUUUUGUUAUAGUUUUAUCCAUGCAGAUAUACAUUGACAAUUGUAUGUGUAGAUCAUUUUUCAAAGUACUAAAAUAGUUUCAUGUAAGUAACUCACAUUUCAACUGUUCUGUGGCUCCAGGCUCCCUGGUUAAUGGCAUCAACCGGUGUCAGUCCCUCCUAUCAGCUGGUCCAAGCUGGAGCUGGCACUCACGAACACACCCUCAACAGUGCCGCCCUGCUAGCAUCCAUCAUGACAAGGAUGACCCUGCCACCAAGAGACCAAGGCUGCAAGCACAGAGGAAGUUUGCCCAGUCCCCUCCAAGCUCUCCAGGACCACCAGUGUCGAUGACUUCAGCACGAAGUAACCACACCCACAACCUGGCUGUAGUCACCUGUCUGACUAGACGUCGACCCAAGACUGAGGACUUCUUGUCUUUCCUCUGUUUGAGAGGUAAGCUGAUUUACUAAAUGGAUUUAACCUCUACUCAAUAAUUUUAUAACAAAAGUGACAAAUGUAAGCAUAUUAGAGAAAAAAGAAGUCCUGUU